GACGAACGCUGGCGGCGUGCUUAACACAUGCAAGUCGGACGCUGAAGCUCAGCUUUUGUUGGGUGGAUGAGUGGCGAACGGGUGAGUAACACGUGAGUAACCUGCCUCCUUCUUUGGGAUAACGCCCGGAAACGGGUGCUAAUACUGGAUAUUCACUGGUCCUCGCAUGGGGGUUGGUGGAAAGGGUUUUUCUGGUGGGGGAUGGGCUCGCGGCCUAUCAGCUUGUUGGUGGGGUGAUGGCCUACCAAGGCUUUGACGGGUAGCCGGCCUGAGAGGGUGACCGGUCACAUUGGGACUGAGAUACGGCCCAGACUCCUACGGGAGGCAGCAGUGGGGAAUAUUGCACAAUGGGCGCAAGCCUGAUGCAGCGACGCCGCGUGAGGGAUGGAGGCCUUCGGGUUGUGAACCUUUUUCGCUCAUGGUCAAGCCGCAACAAUGGUUGUGGUGAGGGUAGUGGGUAAAGAAGCGCCGGCUAACUACGUG
rnacentral:rRNA from 1 species